rnacentral:rRNA from 1 species
AUGGCGGAGAUCGCCGUCGGCGUCUCCUCCCCGCGCGCCUCCGUCGCCGCCGCCGCCGCCGCGGCGGCGGCGUCGGCCUCCGCCGGCCCGGCGGUGCUGUCCUCCCCGCGCGCCGCGCUAAGCCGGGGCGCGCAUCAGUUCCACCACCGGCGGUGGGCGCCGCCGGCGAUCUCGCCGUCCUACAGGGCGUACCUGGUCGCGCUCUGGCUCGUCGGCUUCGUGCUCGUCUUCCUCUGGCAGAACACCUCCAUGGGCCGCCUGCGGCUCUACAACCGGCCGCCCAUGCCCAAGCGCGCGCCGUCCGCUGCCGCAUCGAUGGGCCAGUGGGUGGCCUCGCCGCCGGUGUACGACUUGAGGGAGUUUGGGGGCGUCGGGGACGGGCGGACGCUCAACACGGCGGCCUUCGAGGCCGCGGUGGCGGCCAUCUCGGAGAGGGGCGGCGGGAGGCUCACCGUGCCUGCCGGCCGGUGGCUCACCGCGCCGUUUAACCUCACCAGCCACAUGACGCUCUUCCUGGCUGCUGGCGCUGAGAUCCUCGGGGUCCAGGAUGAAAGAUACUGGCCAUUGAUGUCUCCAUUACCAUCAUAUGGAUAUGGAAGAGAGCACAAGGGACCUCGAUAUGGGAGCCUCAUACAUGGUCAAGACCUGAAGGAUGUGAUUAUAACCGGUCAUAAUGGCACUAUAAAUGGGCAAGGCCAAAGUUGGUGGAUCAAAUUUCGCAAGAAACUCCUCAAUCACACCAGGGGUCCUCUUGUUCAGCUCAUGCGGUCAAGUAACAUUACUAUUUCUAACAUCACAUUACGUGAUUCUCCCUUCUGGACACUUCAUCUAUAUGACUGCAAGGAUGUCACAGUCUCGGGAACUACUAUUCUGGCUCCAAUUGCUGGGGCUCCAAACACCGAUGGGAUAGAUCCAGAUUCUUGCGAGAAUGUGAUGAUUGAAAAUUGCUAUAUUUCUGUUGGUGAUGACGGGGUAGCUAUAAAGAGUGGUUGGGAUCAAUAUGGAAUUGCUUAUGGGCGUCCGUCUACUAACAUCACUGUUCGCAAUGUCAUAAUCCGCUCAAUGGUCAGCGCUGGCGUGUCUAUAGGAAGCGAGAUGUCUGGUGGUGUCUCAAACGUUUUGGUAGAGAACGUCCACAUUUGGAGUUCGCGGCGAGGUGUGAGGAUAAAGACUGCCCCUGGAAGAGGGGCCUAUGUAAACAACAUUGUCUACAGAAACAUAACCCUAGAAAAUGUCCGUGUUGGCAUCGUGAUAAAGACCGACUAUAACGAGCACCCAGAUGAACGGUUCGACCCGAAGGCUGUUCCUGUUGUCGGCAACAUCUCUUAUACGUCAAUCCAUGGGCAAAGGGUGCGGGUGCCCGUCAGGAUACAAGGGAGCGCAGAGAUCCCCGUGAGGAAUGUUACUUUCCAUGAUAUGUCGGUUGGCAUACUUGACAAGAAGCACCAUGUUUUCCAGUGCUCCUUCGUCCAGGGGCAGGUCAUCGGCUAUGUUUUCCCUGUGCCCUGCAAGAACCUGGACCUGUACAAUGAGCGGCGCGAGAUGGUUAAACAAUCGACACUGCAGAACAUUUCUGAUAUCGACUACAGUUUCUGA